UCAGACGAUGCGUCAUGCAUAUCAAUAAGCGGAGGAAAAGAAACUAACAAGGAUUCCCCUAGUAACGGCGAGUGAAGCGGGAAGAGCUCAAAUUUGAAAUCUUAAAGGGUUUCCCUUUACGAAUUGUAGUUUAAAGAAGUGUUUUCUGUUGAGGUUUUGGUAAAAGUUCUUUGGAAUAGGACAUCAUAGAGGGUGAGAAUCCCGUAUUUGACCUUUACUUUCAACUUUGUGAUACACUUUCAAAGAGUCGGAUUGUUUGGGAAUGCAGUCCAAAAUGGGUGGUAAAUUUCAUCUAAAGCUAAAUAUUGGCGAGAGACCGAUAGCGAACAAGUACCGUGAGGGAAAGAUGAAAAGAACUUUGAAAAGAGAGUUAAACAGUACGUGAAAUUGUCAAAAGGGAAGCGUUUGACACCAGUGUUGUUUUUCUGAAAAUCAAUUAAAGAACUGUUUAUGCUAAGUUGUUUAGACUUUAUCAGCUAACUGUUUAGUUUUGAGCUUUUCUUUAAUGCACUUUUCAGUUAACAAGUCAACAUCAAUUUCUUUUGCUGUAAAAAAGCUUGAGGAAGGUGGCUUGAGAUUCGUCUUAAGUGUUUAUAGCCUCUUGCCUAUGCAGUCGGAGAGAUUGAGGUCUGCAGCGUAGAUCCUUCGGGGCUAAAUGCAUUUGUGCUAAGUUAUAGCAUUUUAUAGACAACUUGUUGACUAUGAUUUGUCUUGUAGCUUACUCGCUUAUGUUAUUUUACCUACGCUUAGGAUGUUGACACACGCGCGUGCUC
rnacentral:rRNA from 1 species